UGGGGAAUAUUGCACAAUGGGCGCAAGCCUGAUGCAGCAACGCCGCGUGAACGAUGAAGGUCUUCGGAUCGUAAAGUUCUGUUGCAGGGGAAGAUAAUGACGGUACCCUGUGAGGAAGCCCCGGCUAACUACGUGCCAGCAGCCGCGGUAAUACGUAGGGGGCUAGCGUUAUCCGGAUUUACUGGGCGUAAAGGGUGCGUAGGUGGUCUUUCAAGUCAGUGGUUAAAGGCUACGGCUCAACCGUAGUUAGCCUCCGAAACUGGAAGACUUGAGUGCAGGAGAGGAAAGUGGAAUUCCCAGUGUAGCGGUGAAAUGCGUAGAUAUUGGGAGGAACACCAGUAGCGAAGGCGUCUUUCUGGACUGCAACUGACACUGAGGCACGAAAGCGUGGGUAGCAAACAGG
rnacentral:rRNA from 1 species